CUUUGAAGGGGCAUCUCUCUGCUGUUGCUGGGAGAGAGUUUUCCAACCACUCAUAUACUGCCUUCUAUUAACAGUGCAUAAAAUUUCUUAGAUAGUGCAAAAAUUUCAUGCUUUCAAUGUAAAGGUAGUAUUUUCGCCUACUAAAGAAGGGUUAAAAAAGACCAUUAAAAUAAAUAUCACAGGAGACUUCAAAGCAAGAAGUACUUAAACAUGCAAGUACCUAAAUCAUCAACUAAAAAGGGUAAAUUUGACUCUACAACUAUCUCCAUCCUUCUCUCAUACGACACAAACUGGUAGUCUAAAAAAGGAAUCAUAGCACGGUACAGGAAAUAUUCACACCUUUUUUCCUGAGGGCUUCUUAAAAACUACAAAAGAGAAAUUGUGUGACAAGUAAACCUUUUAAAUCCCCCAUCAACAGCCUUUGAUGAAACUCCAUCUUGAAACCAGACCUGUAUGCUUUAAAAAUGAAAUGUUCUAAGUAAAGCGAAGUUGUUUUUACUUUCAGACCAAAGGGGGGAAAAAAUCACCGAUUUAAAAGUAAAAGGGCUUUAGUGAAAAGUUCACAGUUGUGAGAUACUUGCUUCGCCAUUAAGAAGGUGGAAGCUCUGCUGGGUAGAAACCACCAUUCUCUGAGGUCUGAGACUUUAGGCAUUCUCAUUCUUACAGACUCUGUCUCCCGGUCACAGUUGUACAUUGGUCCUCUCAUUCCAACCAAACUACAGGGUCUCCAUAGCGUGAAGCAUGUGGUCCUUAAACGUGUUGGGGAAAGCUGCUAAUCAACGUCCUUAAGGCUCGUCAACAAUCAGACGGCAAAUCACAAACUUGCUUCCUCAACCCGAGAACAAACACUCCAGGUCCCCAAAGAAAUGAAGGUUCCUUCCACUCCCACAGGAAAACUACCAGGUUUCAGUUCUUUCGCUUUAUUUUUUAAAAGACAAAUAAAAAAUUAACUGAACACACGUGUUUUCCUACCAUUCUCAUACUUUUUAAAAAUCCCUCCAUUUUCUUCCUUCCUUUAUUUACGUUGGAAAAAUUCUUAAUAAAUAACGCCUGCUUGAAAGACAUCAGGAACUCAUUUUGAGGACUGAGUUUGCAGAAGACAAGGCAGAGAGAUGAGUGGGCAGAGUUGAGCUGAAAUUUUUAAAUUCCUGCACGGCAAAGCAAUUGUGCGUAUCUGUUUUCAAACAAUAAAAGCGUCUGGAAUUGCACAAUGUUGCAGAGCCAUGCGAGGCGCGAGGAGCAGGCAGCCGGAGGGCUCCGUGUCACAAAGGCUGCCGGGGCAGCACGCGAGCCAGAGUCACGACAAGCCCGGGUCCCAGGCUCGCUGCUGCCUCAAAUCUCAUCCGGUCCCAAAGCCAGCUGCCCUGCAGAGAGGAGCCUACCGGCACCGGGCACGUCUGUGGGAGGGCGAGGCUGGGAGAAAGGCACUGAGCUAAAGAUGAGAAGAAGCGUUCCCUGGAGCCUGCAUGGCAUCAAUCAUGAGAAUGGAUGUUGAGGGUUAUGCACCCCACUGAGGCAGCACUGAAUGCCAGAUCCCAAGUUACAGAGGACACCGAUGGGAGGAUGUGGUGGUGAUGGAGGCAGAGCUGUGAAGAACUGAGAGGCUAUUAGAAAACCGCGGUGGAACAGUGGCUGGGGAAAAGGAUUGUAUUUGCUGGGGCUGCUAUUAAAAAGUACCGUGAACUGAGUGGCUUAAACACCAGAAAUUAUUCUCUCACAGUUCUGGAGGACUAAAGUCCAAAAUCAAGCUGUGGGCAGGGUGGGUUUCCCUGAGAGCUGCAAGUGAAGGAUCUGUUCCAGGCCUCUCUCCUUGGCUGAUUUCCUGGCAAACAGAAAAAGCUCUCUUGGUCUUUAAAGUUCAUGACAGAUUCCCUAAGUGUUUGUAAAACAUCUGCCAACCACACUGAUGGGCUCUCACACAAAGGUUUUGGAAAUACAGACUGAUUUCCUUUGGUUACUAAAACUGAUUUUUUUUUUUUUUUUUGGUUACUACAAUUGAUUUUAUCUCUAUAAUUUUCUUCUCUGUCAUCUUAUUUUAAACAAAAACCGUGGCACAAAAAUAAAGUGAUGGUUUUUGAGGAAAACAUAUCUAUUUGUUUUUCUUUUUGUAUCUUCAGCCAAAACAUCUAAGGAAUAAUAAUGAAAAUAAUAGAAAAUCUUUUGCACUGGGAAAUUGUUUCCCUCUGUUUUUAGCCUUCAUUUAUUUUUUUGCCAGAGCUUCAUAUCUUUUCAGAGAUUCAUGUGCAUAACAGUUUUAAAUGUUUUCCAAAAUGAACUUCUCCAGCUGAAUCUCAGAGAAGAAAGCUUUGUUAAUGGCAACAAUUCAUUUAAGAUUAAUAUGAAGCUUUCUGGAUGAUUGUUGG
rnacentral:lncRNA from 1 species